GCAGGAGGGAGUAAUUGGAGAAGGCACAAACUGCUGAUCCUCUCUGGAAUGCCUCCCAAUGUGAGAUGGUUCAUUACGGGAAGAUGCAUGGUUUUAUGCAGAAGUACUUUCUCUUUAACCCACACUGGGUGGUCAGAACUAAGUGGGAAAAGUUUGUGGUUAAAACAUAUAUGUAAGAUUUGUGUUGGUACUUCUUGGAGACCUAUUUUGUUAUUUCAGUUCAAAGUUUGUGGUUACGUUUUGGUUGGACAUGAAUAGCUAGUACUUUGAAUUGAUAUGUAAGAAAUAGCUAGUACUUUGAAUUGAUAUAUAUGUAAGAAAUACUUCAUACAAUUGGGUACCCUAUUUGUAGUUUCGGUGUGUUUGGGCAAUG